GACGAACGCUGGCGGCGUGCUUAACACAUGCAAGUCGAACGGAAAGGCCUCCACCUUGGUGGGGGUGCUCGAGUGGCGAACGGGUGAGUAACACGUGGGUGAUCUGCCCUGUACUUCGGGAUAAGCUUGGGAAACUGGGUCUAAUACCGGAUAGGACCAUGGUUUAGUGUCUCAUGGUGGAAAGAUUUUUUGGUGCAGGAUGAGCUCGCGGCCUAUCAGCUUGUUGGUGGGGUAAUGGCCUACCAAGGCGUCGACGGGUAGCCGGCCUGAGAGGGUGGACGGCCACAUUGGGACUGAGAUACGGCCCAGACUCCUACGGGAGGCAGCAGUGGGGAAUAUUGCACAAUGGGCGCAAGCCUGAUGCAGCGACGCCGCGUGGGGGAUGACGGCCUUCGGGUUGUAAACUCCUUUCGUUAGGGACGAAGCCGCACCUUUUUUGGGUGUGGUGACGGUACCUUUGUUAAGAAGCACCGGCUAACUACGUGCCAGCAGCCGCGGUAAUACGUAGGGUGCGAGCGUUGUCCGGAAUUACUGGGCGUAAAGAGCUCGUAGGUGGUUUGUUGCGUCGUCUGUGAAAUUCCGGGGCUUAACUUCGGGGUGGCAGGCGAUACGGGCAUAACUAGAGUGCUGUAGGGGAGACUGGAAUUCCUGGUGUAGCGGUGGAAUGCGCAGAUAUCAGGAGGAACACCGAUGGCGAAGGCAGGUCUCUGGGCAGUAACUGACGCUGAGGAGCGAAAGCAUGGGGAGCGAACAGGAUUAGAUACCCUGGUAGUCCAUGCUGUAAACGGUGGGCGUUAGGUGUGGGGACCGGUUUGGUUUCUGUGCCGUAGCUAACGCAUUAAGCGCCCCGCCUGGGGAGUACGGCCGCAAGGCUAAAACUCAAAGGAAUUGACGGGGGCCCGCACAAGCGGCGGAGCAUGUGGAUUAAUUCGAUGCAACGCGAAGAACCUUACCUGGGUUUGACAUGCACCAGACGGUUGUAGAGAUACGUACCUCCCUUUGUGGUUGGUGUGCAGGUGGUGCAUGGUUGUCGUCAGCUCGUGUCGUGAGAUGUUGGGUUAAGUCCCGCAACGAGCGCAACCCUUGUCUUAUGUUGCCAGCACUUUGGGUGGGGACUCAUGAGAGACUGCCGGGGUUAACUCGGAGGAAGGUGGGGAUGACGUCAAAUCAUCAUGCCCUUUAUGCCCAGGGCUUCACACAUGCUACAAUGGUUAGUACAACGCGCUGCGAGCCUGUGAGGGUGAGCGAAUCGCUGAAAGCUAAUCUCAGUUCGGAUUGGGGUCUGCAACUCGACCCCAUGAAGUCGGAGUCGCUAGUAAUCGCAGAUCAGCAAUGCUGCGGUGAAUACGUUCCCGGACCU
rnacentral:rRNA from 1 species